rnacentral:rRNA from 1 species
CCAAUAGCGUAUAUUAAAGUUGCUGCAGUUAAAAAGCUCGUAGUUGAAUUUCGGGACCAUCAUGUCGGUCGUGCCUCGGUACGUACUGGCAUUGUUGGUUUCUCCCUUCUGACGAACCAUGAUGUCAUUUAUUUGGUGUUGUGGGGAAUCAGGACUGUUACUUUGAAAAAAUUAGAGUGCUUAAAGCAGGCUCACGCUUGCAUACAUUAGCAUGGAAUAAUGAAAUAGGACGUUUGAUUCUAUUUUGUUGGUUUCUAGGAUCGACGUAAUGAUUAAUAGGGAUAGUUGGGGGCAUUAGUAUUCAAUUGUCAGAGGUGAAAUUCUUGGAUUUAUUGAAGACUAACUACUGCGAAAGCAUUUGCCAAGGAUGUUUUCAUUAAUCAAGAACGAAAGUUAGGGGAUCGAAGACGAUCAGAUACCGUCGUAGUCUUAACCAUAAACUAUGCCGACUAGGGAUCGGAUGAUGUUAAUUUUUUAAUGACUCAUUCGGCGCCUUACG